rnacentral:misc_RNA from 1 species
CCGAGAACGCGUCCUCUGGGCGCAUCUCCCACCCUUUGUCUACCAUACCUUUGUUGCUUUGGCGGGCCCGUCUCGCGACCGCCGGCUUCGGCUGGCCCGCGCCCGCCAGAGGACCACCAACUCUGAUUAUCAUGCCGUCUGAGUAUUACACAAAUACGUUA